rnacentral:lncRNA from 1 species
ACUUGAAGAUUUGGAUUCCAAGAGGCCUCUGUCUGUCCUGCCUCGGCCAGAGCCAGACAGCCAGCUCAAGGAGAUGGGCAUUUACAGAGAAAGCAGCAUUGUGUUGAUGUUCCUUUCAGCUGGUCCUAUAGUCCCCCUCCUCAGGAAUGUCUCCCAGUGCAAGGACAAAGACUGAAGAGACUGCUAUAUUGAUGGACCCUCAAGCCAACUAUGAAGUUGAAACAAAGAAAGUGAUCACCUGAAGACACCUCCUCUGCUAAGAAACACCCCCAAAUUGUGCAGCUUCUGACACUAGAACUCUCAGAACAAGAGACAAUCUUUUGAAGAAACAGAAAAACUCAAUAAUGACAUCUAGAUUUUCAUGAGCCAAGAACUUUCCCUUCCUCAUGUGUAUUCCUCUGUUUGUACUUAAAUUCAUGUGACAUUCAUUUUUUUCCUAGUAUGGAUAUGCUUAUUAAUGCACUUGUUUCAAAAUCGAAAAUUGCACAAAUGUGUUAAUAUUUUAAGAAACAAAAUUAAUCCUACAAGGAGAAUGAUUUUUAGCCACACAUAGGGUUGGAUCUUAAGAGUGACCUACAGAAUAA